rnacentral:rRNA from 1 species
CACAAGCGGAGGAACAUGUGGUUUAAUCGAUGAUACGCGAGGAACCUUACCUGGGCUUAAAUGUAGAGUGCAUUUUUAGAGAUAGAAAUUCCCUUCGGGGCUUUCUGCAAGGUGCUGCAUGGUUGUCGUCAGCUCGUGCCGUGAGGUGUCGGGUUAAGUCCCAUAACGAGCGCAACCCUUAUCGUUAGUUGCCAGCUGGUAAAGCAGGGGACUCUAGCGAAACUGCCACCGUAAGGUGAGAGGAAGGUGGGAUGACGUCAAAUCAGCACGGCCCUUAUGUCCAGGGCUACACACGUGUUACAAUGGCCGGCACAGAGGGCAGCUACCUGGUGACAGGAUGCUAAUCUCGAAAACCGGUCUCAGUUCGGAUCGAAGUCUGCAACUCGACUUCGUGAAGCUGGAUUCGCUAGUAAUCGCGCAUCAGCCAUGGCGCGGUGAGUACGUUCCCGGGCCUU